rnacentral:tRNA from 1 species
GCGGGGAUGCCCGAGCAUGGUCAAAGGGGGCGGACUUAAGAUCCGCUGGCGAAGGCCUGCGUGGGUCCAAAUCCCACUCCCCGCA